rnacentral:rRNA from 1 species
UUGAACGCUGGCGGAAUGCUUUACACAUGCAAGUCGAGCGGCAGCGCGGGGGCAACCCUGGCGGCGAGCGGCGAACGGGUGAGUAACAUAUCGGAACGUACCCUGUCGUGGGGGAUAACUAUCCGAAAGGAUAGCUAAUACCGCAUACGCCCUGAGGGGGAAAGUGGGGGAUCGCAAGACCUCACGUUAUUGGAGCGGCCGAUAUCGGAUUAGCUAGUUGGUGGGGUAAAGGCUCACCAAGGCGACGAUCCGUAGCGGGUCUGAGAGGACGGCCCGCCACACUGGAACUGAGACACGGUCCAGACUCCUACGGGAGGCAGCAGUGGGGAAUUUUGGACAAUGGGGGCAACCCUGAUCCAGCCAUUCCGCGUGAGUGAAGAAGGCCUUCGGGUUGUAAAGCUCUUUCAGCAGGAACGAAACGGUGGCUACUAAUACUAGCUACUAAUGACGGUACCUGAAGAAGAAGCACCGGCUAACUACGU